CCUUACCCGCCGCCACGUCCUGAGCCGCCCAUCUAUGCCGCCGCCGACGACGGCCUGGCUCCUCCUCCACCCAUGCGCCCCCUCCCAAUCUCCAUAGCCUCCAACAACCAACUCCAUCUCCUGCCUCCUGCAACUAGUCCUGCCAGUGCGCCGCGUCCGCCGCCAGUGAAUGCCGUCCGCAAGGACUGCCCCUGGCCCCUCUGCUCCGGCGCUCCUCGGUCGUCCCCGGCCCUUUGCCUGGUCGCUAGGGACGUGCUGCUCCACGCCUGCUCCUGCCGGUGGCCGCCGCCUGCCGCGCCGGCUCUGGCGCUUUGCUCCUGCCAAUCCCGGGCUGCUCGCCUGCUCGGCCGGACUCUGCCGCCCAGGACAGGACUUGCUGUCAACAAACAGCAAGCAGGCUGGGACAGGGAAAAAGAAGAGGAAGAUAUAUUUCAUUGCAAGUUUCAACACCCAGUGUUUCAGUUGGACUGAAUCAACUCCACAAAUUGGAACAACCAUAGAUUGGACCACCGCCUUUGGCUUCAAACAACCCGCCUUCAAUCUCAACUCGAGAAAGUACCUCUUUUGUAUCCCAUACUCUUUUCUUGAAGUUUUUGGCAUGUUUUUAUCUAUUUUGUUGUAUCAUUAAGAAUUGAGUUUAAAUUCUAGAGAGACAUACCAUUUGUCCAGAAGUAUCAAGCAUUGGAUGUAAAGUGGACAACCUAUUCGGUACUGAAACAAUAUAUGUAGCAUGUAUGAAGCUGAAUCAUGCUUAUAACACUGAAGAGCACAGUAACUUCCAUAAUGCAAGUAAGUAGCUGCAAUCUUCCAGGAUUUUUUAUAAAUAAAUCAGCAACAUGCCACUCACCUAAGUUGUCUUUUCAGCGUAUCCUACCAUGCGCCAAUGAGGCAAGUGGUAGUGUAUCCUAAAAAUCCCCUUUUCCUGAAGGUGUAAACACAUGCAGCAACUGAUCGUGUGCAUUAGAAUGCACUGUUUGAUAAUUACUCUCUUAGGCCCUGCUUGCUAACUUUGUAAAAAUAUGCGACCGGCUACCCUUCAACAAUUGCAAGUCACUUGGGGACUGUUUGGUUUCCAGCCAAAUGUUGCCAGACCUAUGGUUAGGCACACAUAAUUUCUGAGGUGAGUGAGUGUUCGGUUGGCUGACACAGUUGUGGCUUGCGACUUUACUAGUCACAUGAUUAAGGAGUAUAUUUUGGCCACACUUUUGUGGCAAGCCACACUCUGUCCUGAGGGGUAACAAUUACUACUUUUGGCUUAGUUGUGGCAAAGUAAGCUUUUAACCAAACUAGGGUGUUAAAUUGGUCUUAAGUUUCAAUCUAGUAUUGUAGAUCAUCACAUAUGUUCUCUGUUUCUUGUUCAAUGAUGUCUUAUCUGACUUGUUAAUCAGUCCAACUUAAUAUCCCUUUUCCUGUUAUCCUUAGAACAAAUAGAUAUGACGUGUAUGCAGUGCAGCCCACUAAUUAUUUAGAUUGCAUUGCAAACGCCCUUUUAUACAUGCUUUUCAUUUUUCAUUCAGGUGGCUGCACAUAUCCUCCAGGUUUCUGUAAUUGGGAAGGAGUGUAUUUCCAGGCGAUGGAUCGAGGUUGGAUGAGUCAACCAAGAGCUAGUGCUGCUUACAAAGAUGGUGUCGAACAAUUUCUGUCUUUUGCAUUCCAUGAUGUUCCAGCUGGUGAUAGAAUUCUCUGUCCUUGUGUAAAUUGCCGAAAUAAAGCUAUGCAGAGUUAUGAUGGAGUGAAAACUCACUUGAGAUGUGAUGGUAUUCUUCAAGGUUACACUAAGUGGGUUUGCCAUGGAGAGGAUUACAGUGAACCAUCAUUUGCAUUUGCUCAUGUAUCAGAUAACAGUGGCAAUUUUUCUAUUCCUGGCAUCCCAAGGAAUGUUGUUGGAGAAGGCAACCAUGGAAGGAUGGAUGACAUGCCAGGACUCUUAAGUGCUGUCUUUGCUAUGGCUAACAGUUGUGAAUCUUUAUCAAGCACAUCUGAUGGUGAAUUAGAUGCGUUGAAUUUGAGAAUAUGGUACCUAAUUCAGUUGAGGAUGAGAAUGCAGAUGCUCAAACAAGGAAGAAACCUAAUACGUAUGCAAGCUUCUUGGAGGAUGCAAACACAGAGUUAUACCCUGGAUGUAAAGCAUUUUCUAAGUUGUCAUUUCUCAUCACCUUGUAUCACAUGAAAUGCUUACAUGGAUGGUCACAAGAAUCA